rnacentral:rRNA from 1 species
CAGGCUGCAACUCGCCUGUAUGAAGUCGGAAUUGCUAGUAAUCGCGGAUCAGCAUGCCGCGGUGAAUACGUUCCCGGGCCUUGUACACACCGCCCGUCACACCAUGAGAGUCGGGAACACCCGAAGUCGGUAGUCUAACCGCAAGGAGGGCGCCGCCGAAGGUGGGCUUGAUAAUUGGGGUGAAGUCGUAACAAGGUAAC